UACGUAGGUGGCAAGCGUUGUCCGGAAUUAUUGGGCGUAAAGCGCACGUAGGCGGCUCUGUAAGUCGGAUGUGAAAUCCCUCGGCUUAACCAAGGAAGUGCAUCCGAAACUGCAAGGCUUGAGUACUUAAGAGGAUCGCGGAAUUCCCGGUGUAGAGGUGAAAUUCGUAGAUAUCGGGAGGAACACCAGUGGCGAAGGCGGCGAUCUGGGAAGAUACUGACGCUGAGGUGCGAAAGCGUGGGGAGCAAACAGG
rnacentral:rRNA from 1 species